GAUAGCGGCGAACGGGUGAGUAACAUGUUGAUAUCUGCCCUUAGGUCAGGGAUAGCCCACUGAAAAGUGGAUUAAUACCGGAUAGUCUCUUCGGAGUAAAAAUUUAUUGCCUAAGGAGGAGUCUACAUUCUAUCAGCUUGUUGGUGGGGUAAAAGCCCACCAAGGCUAUGACGGAUAACUGGUCUGAGAGGAUGAUCAGUCAA
rnacentral:rRNA from 1 species